rnacentral:rRNA from 1 species
UACGUAGGUGGCAAGCGUUGUCCGGAAUUAUUGGGCGUAAAGGGCGCGUAGGCGGCCUUCUAAGUCGAACGUGAAAUCCCCGGGCUCAACCCGGGAACUGCGUCCGAUACGGAAAGGCUUGAAUCCGGGAGAGGGAUGCGGAAUUCCAGGUGUAGCGGUGAAAUGCGUAGAUAUCUGGAGGAACACCGGUGGCGAAGGCGGCAUCCUGGACCGGCAUUGACGCUGAGGCGCGAAAGCCAGGGGAGCAAACGGG